rnacentral:rRNA from 1 species
UUCAAAAACAUGUCCUUUUGUUUUUAUUUAAGGUCUAGCCUGCCCAAUGAUUAAUUCAAUGGCCGCGGUAUUUUAACUGUGCUAAGGUAGCAUAAUCAUUUGUCUUUUAAUUGAAGGCUUGUAUGAAUGGCUGGACGAGGCAUAAUCUUUCUUUAAUUUAAUUUAUGAAUUUAAUUUCUUAGUUAAAAAGCUAAGAUUUAUUUGUUGGACGAGAAGACCCUAUAGAUCUUCAUAUUUGGGGCUGUUUAAUUAAUUUGGUUAAUUUUUUAUUUGAAUCAGGUCAAAUAUUUGGUUGGGGUGACUGUAGAAUUAGAAUAACUUCUAUUUUUGUUUUUCAUUUAUUUAUGUUUUUUUUGAUCCAUUAAUAAUGAUUAUAAGAUUAAGUUACCUUAGGGAUAACAGCGUAAUUUUUUUGGAGAGUUCAUAUCGAUAAAAAAGUUUGCGACCUCGAUGUUGGAUUAAAAUAAGUAGUGGGUGCAGUGGUUCACUAACUAGGUCUGUUCGACCUUUUAUUUUUUACAUGAUCUGAGUUCA